rnacentral:tmRNA from 1 species
GGGUCUGUAAUGGUCUCGACGGGGAAAAGGAUUUUAGAACUGCAUGCGGAAGCGGGCUCCUUCCUUAAAAAGUCCAAAAAAAUAAUCGCUGAUAACGAUUACGCUCUUGCUGCCUAAUCUCUGAUUAGGUCAGUCUCUCAUAAGAGAAUAAGCACUUAUUUAGUCCCCGGUCUUUGGUAACGAAUAAGUGUUAAAGUAAUAUAGACCAAUGAUGUGGGUUUUCCGGGUUGACGCAUCGGAUACAGAAUUUCCGGCGUGCGUGUGCAAGGUAGGUCAGCUGCUUAAAACACACCGCGUAUCAAAAACAGCUGCCUAAGCAUGUAGAUGUUCUUCUUGAGAUUUCUUCGGACAGGGGUUCGACUCCCCUCAGAUCCAU